CAAAGGCCCAAACUAUCUCCUCACCCGCCGGUUUAUAGCCGUAGCCGGCGCUUGGAAGCAGCCAGCAGGUUUAGCCAAAUACCUCGAUUUGUUGGAGCUCCCUGUGCUUCCCUAGGCAGUUCCACUGUCUCUACCUCCAUUCUCGGUCUGCUCACUUGUGUGUUAGGAAGUACAAAAAAUGCAGUAGAAAAAGAACCUGAGCAGAUUUGCGGCUAUAAAAAUGCACAGAGUCUCUUCGAAGAAAUUUUAUGUUAUCUGCAACAAGUACUAUGCUUGCUUAUCAUCUGGAAACCCAAAGAUUCUCAAGAAAAGGUCAAGUUUCUCGAUCAAAUUCAUUGAAUCAUCGAAAUCUCAACUCUUUUCCACCUAUUCUCGUCUGGUUUCAACCGAAAUCCCAUCAAAACCAAUCCCAGCUCAUGAACUGAACAAAACCAUCCCUCAAAAUGGUACUCUCACUGAGCCAAGGAAGGGGCUUGCCCUAAUCUACCUCAACAACGAGCCAGAAGUUUCUACAGAGAUCAAAUCGCACGAUGAAUUUUCUUCUGAUGUUGAAAAGGUGUACAGAAUCUUGAGAAAAUUCCAUUCCAGAGUCCCAAAAUUGGAACUUGCUCUGCAAGAAUCUGGGGUGGUGGUAAGGUCUGGCUUAACUGAACGUGUGCUUAAUCGCUGUGGAGAUGCAGGGAAUUUAGGAUACAGAUUCUUUGUGUGGGCAUCAAAACAGCCCGGUUGUCGGCAUAGUUAUGAUGUUUACAAAGCCAUGAUCAAGAUUUUGGGGAAAAUGAGACAAUUUGGAGCUGUUUGGGCUCUAAUUGAGGAGAUGAGAAAGGAAAAUCCUCAGAUUGUGUCACCUGAGGUUUUUGUUGUUUUAAUGAGAAGGUUUGCGUCGGCAAGGAUGGUUAAAAAAGCAAUUGAAGUGUUGGAUGAGAUGCCCAAGUAUGGUUGUGAGCCUGACGAGUAUGUUUUUGGGUGCUUGUUGGAUGCUUUGUGUAAGAAUGGUAGUGUAAAGGAAGCUGCUUUGUUGUUUGAAGAUAUGAGAAUAAGGUUUAGGCCCACUAUUAAGCAUUUUACUUCAUUGUUGUAUGGUUGGUGCAGGGAAGGGAAACUGAUGGAGGCAAAAUUUGUGUUGGUGAAAAUGAGGGAAGCAGGUUUUGAGCCUGAUAUUGUGGUUUAUAAUAAUUUGCUUAAUGGGUAUGUGGUGGCGGGGAAAAUGGUGGAUGCAUUUGAUGUUUUGCAAGAGAUGAGGAAAAAGGGUUGUGAACCUAAUGCAACAUCCUUUACAAUUGUUAUUCAGGCACUUUGUGCUCGAGAGAAAAUGGAGGAGGCAAUGAGGGUAUUCAUGGAUAUGAGGAGGAGUGGCUGUGAAGCUGAUGUUGUGACUUACACUACCUUGAUCAGUGGAUUUUGUAAGUGGGGUAUGAUUGAUAAAGGUUAUGAUCUUGUAGAUAGCAUGAUACAGAAAGGGCAUACUCCAAAUCAGACAACUUACUUGCAUAUCAUGCUGGCUCAUGAAAAGAAGGAGGAGUUGGAAGAGUGUAUGGAACUUUUGAACGAGAUGCAAAAGAUUGGCAUAUUGCCUGAUCUGAGCAUUUACAAUACUAUAAUCCGUUUGGCCUGCAAACUGGGGGAAACUAAAGAAGGUAUGAGAGUUUUCAGUGAAAUUGAAGCAAAUGGCAUGAGUCCAGGUGUUGACACCUUUGUCAUCAUGAUCAAUGGGUUUGUUGAGCAAGGAUGUUUAAUCGAAGCUUGUGAUCACUUCAAAGAAAUGGUUGGGAGAGGCCUUUUGGCUGCUCCACAGUAUGGUACUCUGAAAGACUUGUUGAAUUCUCUGUUGAGAGUGGAUAAGCUUGAAAUGGCUAAAGAUGUCUGGAGUUGCAUUAUGACGAAAGGAUGUGAGCUUAAUGUGUAUGCAUGGACCAUUUGGAUUCAUGCUCUCUUCUCAAAUGGGCAUGUGAAGGAAGCCUGUUCUUACUGUCUGGAUAUGAUGGAUGCUGGCGUGAUGCCUCAGCCAGAUACCUUUGCCAAGCUUAUGCGUGGUCUAAGAAAGCUGUAUAAUAGACAAAUUGCUGCAGAGAUCACAGAGAAAGUGAGGAAAAUGGCUGCAGAGAGACAGAUGACAUUCAAGAUGUACAAGAGACGUGGUGAAAGAGACUUGAAAGAGAAAGCUAAGGCAAAGAAGGAUGGGAGGAAGAGGAGAGCACGCCGUCGACAAUGGGGAAAGGGUCGUACAAAGGAUAAUACCUUGUGAUGUGAAUAUAGGGAGACCUCAAAACAAAACUGAGUGUUCUGGUGAUGACAGAUUGUCCAAAGGAAGCAGACAAAUUGAUUGCUUCUCUGAAUCUCUGCUGCCCUUUCCUAUUCGUAAGCACCUGGCAUUGCACAAAAUUUCUAUUUAACAGAGUCGUCUGCAUGUGGUGCAUGUGCUGAUAGAACUGAAAGAUUUCAAAGCUAAAAGGAAAAGAAAACCUUGGGUGCAACUCGGACAAGCUCUUAUAUAGAGGAAUCCUGAUUGCCCGCCGAGAAUCUUCGUCGUACAGUUGGGCUCUGGCUGGACUCCCUUUCGAAAGCUAAUCUCUAUUAAGCAUUAUAUUUGGUGAAUUCUUGAUGACCAAUCAGAUGGACACCAAGUUGUUGGCCAAAGAAAUGCCCCUCAUCUUCGGUUUCAUUCACACUUGGACACCUAGUUGAUGAUCAUACCCUAGUCCAUGUAAAUAAUGAAGAAGCAAAAAUGAUGAGCUUGUGUUGGUGGGGAUGGAUUUUCAUCCCUACCGGCUAAGAUGAGAAUGAAGCUGCAACGAAAAAGUUAGAGCAAUCUAUAGCCAAGCCGAGGCACCAACACUUCCACCUCAAAUUGCACGACUAAUCCCGUUAUCCGAGCAGUUUACUUGGAGAGGGAAAAAGGGAGCUGUGUGGCACCAAUUUUAUCAUGUCUGUUCUUCAUCACCAAUCCUGGAGUGUAAAAUAUUCUGGACUGGCAUGUUAUUUUAGUUAUGUCGCGAAGGCCAUCAUGUUCAACUCAACGAGGUAUUGUUACCAGCAGCUUGGGGUGAAUGUUUCAUCCAAAAUUGAGCUCCCGUCGUUCCAAAACCCUGAUGUUCCUGGGCUUGAUCCUCAUUAUUGGGUAUACUUUUUGUGGCUCAAGCACGUAUUUGAUUGUAGACUCAUUGUACAGUAUAGUCAGUAUCAUCUUAUCUAGUACUAUGUGCCAAACAUGCACCAAGUGUUUCAUUCUUACGUACCAUCAUCUUUCUUAAUUAGAUCUAGCCCAGGUCAAGGAAUCACUUGCUAGAAUUGAAGGUGAUUUCACAUGCACAUCAGAAGUUCAGAGGGAAAUGCCAUAUUUAAAGACAGCAUACGGUGACAGUAUUUGCAGAGUUUUGCAUGUUGGACCAGAUACUUGUUCAGUGGUCUCUAAAUUGUUAAAAGAAUAAGAAACAGAAGCAUGGGUUGUUGAACCAUAUGAUAUAGAGGAUGGAGUUGCAAAAGUCUAGUGCAUAAGGGCAUAGUGCGCGUUUCUGAUAUUAAGUUCCCUGUACCAUAUACGGCUAAAUCAUUCUCCCGUUGUUGUCAUAUCGGAUGCUGUAGAUUAUCCGUCUUCAAAGUACCUGAAAAAGACUAUUCCAGAUUUAGCAAGAGUGUCGAGUACCAGUCUUGUUAUUUUUACUGGUAUUUCAAGAGCUAAAGUACCAGAACUGUCCAAGUUUGGCCGUCAGGCAAAAAUGAGGAGCUCAUCUUGGUGGGGAAAGUUUUUCGUCCUGACAAGCUUAGAUGAGAAUGAAGCUGCAAGGAAAAAGUUCGAGCAAUCUGCAACCAAGAGUUCUCACACUCCAAGCUUGAGGUGCCAAAUUUUUCACCUCAAAUCAUACGGCUAAUGUUGUACGAAUCGAACUUGUAAUCUCUGAGCUACAGAAUUAUUUUGUAUUUUUUUUUUUUUUGAUGACUCAAGUGUCCGAGCCUCACCUAACUAAUCUUGAGGAGUGACAGCCUUCCUCCUGGUUUGCCACCUAGGUAAAUUCGGAUGCAGUCACAACUUAUACACACUUAGACCGGACAUUCGGGAUGCGGUUCUUUUCCCUGCGAGCCUCUAUUUACGAUGUGCGGAUAGAACAUCUGGAAGGAUGAUAAAGCGCACCAUAACUUUACCUCCGCAGGACAUCUGCUUUCCAACAUUAAUUUUAUCUUCUAGCUGUUGCAGGGAUUCAAACCUUUGAUGCUCCGUAGAGAACUCUCCUACUUUACCAUUGUGUCGUGCCCUUAGGAAUGAUUUUGUAUUUUCUUAGGCAGAAGAGAUGUUCAGGUUCAGCACAUUUUUUGUCAGUAUUAAGUACCAACUUGUAAGUGGAAUAACUUUAAUCCCUUAGCAUUUGAACUCAAUUAUCAGUACAAAAUUUCCCA